UUAUGUUGGGUCCACUAGUUGAGGGAAAUGAAUUAUUUAUUAUAAAAGCUUUCCAAAUAAGAAAAUGGAGCAUGUAUUUAAAAAUUGACGAAAAUGGAAAGUGGAGCAAGUAUUUAAAAACGGAGGGAGUAAUAAACCUUUUGAUGUAUAAAUUUGACAGAAUGACAGGAAAUUAAAGUCCUGGAAGAGGAUGAUGAGAUUGCAGAUUAUAUCGACAGUCGCAAGCAAGAGUUUGAAAAUCUAUCUCCCUUGAAACUCCAUGAAAUCAUUCUUCCACCCUUUUUACUUCCUCGGUAUUAUGGCAAGUCAUGGAUAAACUUGGUGUAACUUGAGAUACUUUUCCAGUAUAAAGAAGGUAUUUCCUCCUACCAUAUUUAGAUCUAAUGCUCACAUGCAACUGGUGCCUGUAAUACCUAUCUCUUGAUUUUUUGGUGCGUCUCUUCUGUACAAAAAGAAUGGCAGCUCCGAGUAUGCCAAAAACUGCUGCUGUAACCGAAGUCCACCAGGAAACUGCGCAUGUAAGCUUUGCAUUCAUCAGGAUCGAAACGAGUAACAUGAGUCCCCAUUUUGCAGAAUUUGGUUUAGUCAUCUCUCUUGCCUACAAAAUAUAAAACUUCUUAAUUUACUGGUUUUAUGUGAAAGUUGUGCAUUCAUCGGAAUUUGCUUGUGCAAUAUGAAGUGGCCUUUGUGGCUGUUACACUUUGAGAAUACAUGUAUAGUAUAAUGCUUCUAUUCUUGAUGUAUGAAGAGAUUUUAAUAACAAUGACUGUGCGUAAAUCCAUCCUAUAACACCCCUUCAAUAUACUUUGCACUCAUAAAUAUAAAAAAUGAAAGUGUAACUUUUAUCUCUAUUACUCUCUAUAUUCAAUUUUACCAUAAGGACAAUCUGCUGUUGCAAUUUAUGCUAGAGUAGUUUUUUAGAAUAACAAUGAACAGACAUACAUAACUAGGGUGCUACACUUACAAAAAAUGAAUGUUACUGCGUGCUACAGUUUAUUCUUCUCAUCUUAUUUUUGCAUUAUCGGUCUCCACUAACAUAGCACAGAAAUUAAUUGCAUGCAUAUCAACAUCUUAUGAUUCAUCGUUGUGAAAUGACAAUUUUUCUGUUAAUAUGUAUGAAUCAUCACUUAUGUAUCAGGGAACAAAUCAAGAUCUGUAUCGAUGGUUGAAAUGAUUUAAUUACCAACAUCAGGAUGGUAUCCCUAUGCAAGAUCAUGUCUCAUAUAUUUUUACAAGUUCUCUUAGUGGUGUGUUUGGAUAAAGAAAGGGGAAGGAAAAGAAGGGGAGGGAAGGGAAGAAUGAUGAGUUUUCCUUCCAAUUCUCUCCAUUGUUGGAGAGAUCAAUUUCUUCAAUUUAAUCCCUCCAAUUCUCUUUUUCCCUCAUUUGUUAUCCAAAUGAAAGAAAAUUCAUCCAUCCAUUUCCUUUCCGUUCCUUUCCCCCCGUUUCCUUCAAUCAAAAUGAAAUGUUAGUGGACAAAUUCCCCAACAGCCACACAAUCCAUAGUUUUACAGCUCAAUAAUUUGGUAGUUGAUUUGAGCCAUGCCGGCACGGUUGGCAAAAAAAUGUAACACCAUCAUCCCACAUGCACGCGCUCGCGCGCGCGCAUACACACUGUUAAUGCCAAAAAUCGUCAAGGAAUGACGUUAAGCUGGGACGUUGACAGUUAGAUGAUUAAUAUUCGAGAAAUAAAAUGAAUAUAAAGAUAAAGAGAGACAAACGAUAUUUUGGUGACGCAGAAAAUCCAAUAAGGUGGGAAAAACUGUGGGUGGGAGUAUUCCACCGAUUGCACUAUGUGAAUAAUCAAGUGUUUACAAUGAGAAUGCUAAACAGUGAGUAAGAGUGAGUGUUCAUAAGCUAAACCCUCCUCUAUUUAUAGGCUAAGCUUCCCUUUAACCUAACGAGUAUACCCCUAGAGAUAGCCAUUUGCCUUUGAUCAUUAUCCCUUCCUUGAAAGUCAGAAAUCAAUUAGAUGACUUGUUCUUCUUUGCUUUGAAUAUUUAUCAAUGGAACUCCUUGACUAUCUUCUUCUAUAAGCUGGAUAGUGGGCCCUUUAAACUGGUCAACUAUCCCUUGAACAUCGGGACGUCGGUUAUAGCUUCUAAUAACGCCUCUUCUUGAUGUCGCUUCUGAUAGACGCGUCAUGAAAAUUCUGCACUAACAGUUUGCCCCUGACUGUUGCUUUGGAUUCCUCAAGAUUCGAAGGAACAAUCUAAUGAUGCCACCUCAGUGCACUUAUUCCUAAAUUUUCUGACUGUUACCCCAACUUAUCCAAACUCUUCAACUUCCACGUUGCUCACGUAUCCCCAUUACCAUUUGCCAAACUUAACUUCCAACUACUCUCUAUAAAUGCUUUAGGAUUGAAAAAUUAAUCCCUAAAAUUCACUUUGAGAAAUUUUAAAAUUCGAAAUUAGAGAAUUCUAGUGUUGAUUGAGAUUUUCCGGCCAAUCUUCCGCUUUUUGCUUCUUUAAUAGGUAAUUCUUUUUAACUUAAUUUCUCUUCAUUUUCAUUUUUUCGGUUUUUGAUGAAAGGGGGUAGUUCUAGAUCUAGGUUUUCACUUAGAAUAUUGGAGAAAACUAGGGAUUUACCUGGUCAAACUAUGGCGACCUUCGAGAACCCAGCAAGUACUGUUACCGAAGGCGAACUUCCGUCCUUCGUUUCCAUGGCAGGCUUCCAUGAGAGCGCUAUCGUGGUGAUUCCGAGUGAGAAGGAUCGCCCUCAGAAUUGCCCUAAUGGCCACAUUGUGUUCUACGAAUACUCUUUCAAACUUGGGUUUAAUUUUCAUUUCAAUGCUAUGACGCGCUCUUUUAUAGAGGUGCUUGACUUGAGUCCACGGCAGGUGAUGCCCCUGGUUUGGAGGGUCACCCAAGUGAUUGAAAAUCUCAUUGAAGGCUGGGCGGAUCCCUUCAAUCUUUCUGAUCUUGUUCACGUCUACAAAAUCCAUGUAGAAGCUUUCAAUAGAUGCACCCUUCAUGUGCAACGCGGCCGUUCAGCUUUGGUUGGGAAGGUGAAUGCUAACGAUCGUGGCUGGAAGACGCGGUAAGUCUUUGUGGAUAAGGAGACUCUAGGGGAAGACGCCAAAUGGAUAAGGACUGGAUGGCGCGGCGAAGGUAUCUUACAUAUACUAUUUCAUUUCUUAUGGCAUUUGUUGUUGACUCUUUUCUUAUGUGCUUCGUUUUGCAGAGAUCGACGUCGGUACCGUUGUAGUUAGAGACAAAAGUGCUAGUAAGGUGAAGGAUUUUCUGAAGUAUCCUUUGGAAGACAGGAUGUUUCCUUGCGCCGUUGUUGAAGAUCCUGAUCCAAUAGACACUGGUUCGGAGGAGGAAAUGAAGGUUUUAGAUGACACUCUUGACAUGGCUUCUGAGAUGGCUUCUAAGAAGAGGAAACAAGCACCUGUCGUUUUUCUUGCCCCUGCUGCUGAGAAUAAGCCUGCUAAGACCAAACCCUUAGACUCCAAGGUUGAUGAUAAGAAACCGGCAGAGAAAAAGGCUUCGCACGUUCGUUCCUCGUCCAAUGUCAAGGAGAAGCAAGUGAAGGAGGAGGAAUACGAGCUGAGAAUUCCUGCUAGCUUCUUGUCUGGGGAACCUAAUGUUGCGCCUUUGUGAAACGCCUAAGUCAGCUUAAGCCGCCAGUGAUCGUUGGGAAGGCGAUCAACCUUCAAUUAAAUGCCUUUCAGGAUUUUUUGGUGAUGGGGUCAUUUCAUUUUAAAUGAGAAGGAGCUUCCAAGUACCAAAUCUGCACUGUCCACUGCUAGAGGGGAGGUUUGUACUUAUCACGAGGAAUUGGCCAAGGCUAAACACUCAUUGGAUGCUGCACAGAAGGUUCUUGAAGAGAAAAACAAAAACAUUGCUGAUUUAAACAAGAACGUUGCUGAUUUAAACAAGAACGUUGCUGAUUUAAACAAGAAUAUUGCUGACCUGACCAAGAACGCGUCUAAGUUGGAGGCGUAAUUGGUUGACGUCCAAGAGGACGCGAAGAAUUCUAAGUGCCUGGAACAGUUAACUAGAUAAGCUAAAGUGUUGAAACGUUUCUUGGUUGGUCGUUUGACAAGGGAGGAGGUGCAGCAGGAAGUGAACAUCUUUCUUCAAUCUGUGGGAAUUGCAGCUGACAUUGAAUCUAACACUGAGUUUGACGCCGAAGAAGGCAAGUCUAUAGCUGACUCAGCUCCUGUUGAUGCCAAUGGUGCGUCCAACGUCAAUGUUGAUGUUGAGGAGCCUGUUCAAAACGUCGAGGAACCUGCUUAGAUGCCUGACUUUUUGUGUCCUUGUCUUUUGAUGUAUUAGUUGACUGCUGCCUCUUGAGGCUUUGAACUUAAAGUUUCUUUUUCUUUUGAACUUUAUUUCUUUUGGUGGACGCCUCUUUUAUAGGCAGUUUGUAAUUAGUACUUUUAUCCUCGUAAUUUCCUGUUUCAUUUUGUUAGCAGAACAAUGGCUAUAUGCACAAAGUAAUUUUUAUUUCUAUUGCGCU